CUGGAUUUGACACAAUUGGCUCAAUAAAUUACUUUGUCAUUCCUGGAUCAAACGAUGGCAGCCUCAACUCCACAAGUAAUGUAAACACUCCAGGUCGUUGGGUUUUUUCUCUGAAUAAAGAAAACGUGGUAGGACUUCAAAUGAAAGUCACUUCAUUGUUAGACCUAACAGACAAUGGAAACCUUGCAUUUGUUAUGCAGAAACUAAAUGAUGAGCUGGUUAAUCGUGGCAUCCCGAGUUAUGUGCAGGUGACUGCACGCAGAGUCCAGAAGACUCCGUAAAAUAACCUUCAUAAUACAGAGGCAAAUGAAAACCAGUUUUAGUCUCUGACAGCAGAUAGUCAAAAUAAUAAAGAAAAAAAUGAUGUUGCUUCUCAGGAUGAGGAG